CACGUAGGGGGCGAGCGUUGUCCGGAUUUAUUGGGCGUAAAGAGCUCGUAGGCGGCUCAGUAAGUCAGGUGUGAAAACUCCAGGCUCAACCUGGAGACGCCACUUGAUACUGCUGUGGCUAGAGUCCGGUAGGGGAGCAUGGAAUUCCUGGUGUAGCGGUGAAAUGCGCAGAUAUCAGGAGGAACACCGAUGGCGAAGGCAGCUCGCUGGGACGGUACUGACGCUGGAGGCGACGGAAAGCGUGGGGAGCGAACAGG
rnacentral:rRNA from 1 species